CAGCAGAUGGCUCUCUUACACUCGCUUCUUAUUCUUUACACAACAAGAGCAUCUUUUGUAACGUAAACAAGUUAGAAGACCCCACCUCUCUGUAGUGGCGGAAAAAUAAGUUGUUAAAAAGUCGUGGGUAUAAUUCAAGGGCGGUAUUACUCUCCACGAAGAAAUAUUAUGUUUUUAAUUCGUUUCUAUUAGCACAUAGGCCCACUGAACAGCGACUCUAACGUUAGCUAACUUUGCUAACUUCACACCGUGGCAAGCGCAAUAUCAACGAUAUAACCAUUUUUAGCUUACAAAAACGAAAGGAACAUAAUAGUUUUGAAUUCUUAGAUCAAAAAAAUGUCUCUUCUGAGGGAUCACAAGACUUUGCGUAUUUUGCUCAUUGCUCUUUCUCAAUUUGCUUACGUUGCUGCUUUGAUUAUCAAUGCACUCGCGGGACCAGGAAAAGGUCCAUUUCAGCGCAGCACUGGAAAUAUAUCAGACAGAUAUCAGACAGAGAUCACUCCUGCUGGAUGGACCUUCUCUAUAUGGGGGGUCGUCUAUUCCUGGCUCUUCCUGAUGAACGCAUAUAUCCUUACCUGGCUUUGUAGAGGGUACUUCAAACCACACACACUCCACUCAUAUCAACACUUUGCUUAUUCACACUGUUUGAAAGCCAUUCAUUGUAGUUUGACAGUCUUCGCCUGAAUUAUUGGCUGUCAGGUUGUACUCAAGUCCAGCAAUCCUGCCCUCGGAAUUCUUUCUCUCAUGGAUCAUCAACAUGAUUCUGAACAGUACCUGGCUGGUCUUGUGGGAUAGAGAGUAAGUUGUGGGCAGCCAACAUAUUUUGUGGCAUAAUCAUAGUUUUGCAUGGUGCCUCAGAAGGUCACGUGUUUGUCUUUUAUUGAUUCAGAUUGAUGAUUCCUGCCCUGAUUGUUCUUGCCCUGAUUGCUUUCACCAACUACCUGAUGAUCUUCUUCUCUUGUCUUGGUCUGCGAGCUCAUGGAUCUUGGCUUAAACAGCAACAUCCAAAAGACCUCUUCUGCAUCAUAGUGUUGGUUCAAAAUGGCAUUGCCACUUAUGCAACAUGGACAACUAUUGCCACACUGCUCAACUUCACUAUUGUGUUGGAUCUGGCGUCAGUUUCCCCAACACAUGCUGCUACUGCUUCUUUAUGCAUACUUCUGUUGGAAGUAAUUAUAUGGUUUACAGUUGAAAACUUUCUAAUAGAGAAGCACGUCCGUUACAUCCUCUCGGUUUACCCUGUGAUUAUCUAUGCUCUAAUUGGAAGCCUAAGCAAGCAUUACAUUGCCGCGGGACCUGGCCGGAAUGCCAUCUUUUCAAUGAUGCUUCUGGUGUUGGCCUGUAUUUUGUUAGUGGUGCGCGUGGGGCUGGUGGUUUGGAGACACGGGACUCUGCCUCUCUUCCGUGAAGUAAGUCCUGAGGUCCUGAUGUCACCAAACAGCGGCACUGAUAAAUAACCAUACAUCAUAAAUACUAAACACUCAUGAAAACUUCAAAGAUGACGUGCCCUAAACGGUAACCCUUCCAGGUGUGCAGUACCUGCAUGAAUGUAUUUCGGCUGGAACAGAUGUCUUUUUCAAAGUAUUAUGGAAAAUAUGCAUGAAACAGCAUACGGUAACAACAUUAUAUCUAUUCUGAGCUUGAGCCAGGCCAUGUUCAGGGUAUUAAAUGUGCCAGUUUUGUUCUAUGUUACUCUUACCAUUCUAAAGUUGAAAUAAAAGUCUGCAUUUAUUUGAUCAAAAAUACAAUAAAAACAGCAGUAUUAUGAAACACUAUUAUGCACAACAGCUUUUUAUUUCAUUUUAAUGUUUUAUAAUGUAAUUGUGUGUAUGCAGAUAUAUUCAGUAACUUGUGACCAAAAUAUCAGUAUUAUACCUGAACCUGACAGUACAUUCAUUUGCUUGUUACCUUUUUGCAUGUCUUUAUGAAUUAACGUUAACAUUUAAUAUUUUAGCAAUUCAAAGCAAAAUAAGCACAAAUAAGGAAGCAAUUUAUUACAGUAUCAAAAGCAGUAUAUCAUACAAAAGCCGACAAUAAUCAUGAUACCAU
ensembl:lncRNA uncharacterized LOC107586663